AGACCCGAAACCCGGUGAUCUAGCCAUGGGCAGGUUGAAGGUUGGGUAACACUAACUGGAGGACCGAACCGACUAAUGUUGAAAAAUUAGCGGAUGACCUGUGGCUGGGGGUGAAAGGCCAAUCAAACCGGGAGAUAGCUGGUUCUCCCCGAAAGCUAUUUAGGUAGCGCCUCGUGAAUUCAUCUCCGGGGGUAGAGCACUGUUUCGGCUAGGGGGCCAUCCCGGCUUACCAACCCGAUGCAAACUGCGAAUACCGGAGAAUGUUAUCACGGGAGACACACGGCGGGUGCUAACGUCCGUCGUGAAGAGGGAAACAACCCAGACCGCCAGCUAAGGUCCCAAAGUCAUGGUUAAGUGGGAAACGAUGUGGGAAGGCCCAGACAGCCAGGAUGUUGGCUUAGAAGCAGCCAUCAUUUAAAGAAAGCGUAAUAGCUCACUGGUCGAGUCGGCCUGCGCGGAAGAUGUAACGGGGCUAAACCAUGCACCGAAGCUGCGGCAGCGACACUCAGGUGUUGUUGGGUAGGGGAGCGUUCUGUAAGCCUGUGAAGGUGUGUCGUGAGGCAUGCUGGAGGUAUCAGAAGUGCGAAUGCUGACAUAAGUAACGAUAAAGCGGGUGAAAAGCCCGCUCGCCGGAAGACCAAGGGUUCCUGUCCAACGUUAAUCGGGGCAGGGUGAGUCGACCCCUAAGGCGAGGCCGAAAGGCGUAGUCGAUGGGAAACGGGUUAAUAUUCCCGUACUUGGUGUUACUGCGAAGGGGGGACGGAGAAGGCUAUGUUGGCCGGGCGACGGUUGUCCCGGUUUAAGCGUGUAGGUGUGUGUUCCAGGUAAAUCCGGUUCACUUUAACACUGAGGCGUGACGACGAGGCACUACGGUGCUGAAGCAACAAAUGCCCUGCUUCCAGGAAAAGCCUCUAAGCAUCAGGUAACAUCAAAUCGUACCCCAAACCGACACAGGUGGUCAGGUAGAGAAUACCAAGGCGCUUGAGAGAACUCGGGUGAAGGAACUAGGCAAAAUGGUGCCGUAACUUCGGGAGAAGGCACGCUGACACGUAGGUGAAGUGAUUUACUCAUGGAGCUGAAGUCAGUCGAAGAUACCAGCUGGCUGCAACUGUUUAUUAAAAACACAGCACUGUGCAAACACGAAAGUGGACGUAUACGGUGUGACGCCUGCCCGGUGCCGGAAGGUUAAUUGAUGGGGUCAGCGCAAGCGAAGCUCCUGAUCGAAGCCCCGGUAAACGGCGGCCGUAACUAUAACGGUCCUAAGGUAGCGAAAUUCCUUGUCGGGUAAGUUCCGACCUGCACGAAUGGCGUAAUGAUGGCCAGGCUGUCUCCACCCGAGACUCAGUGAAAUUGAACUCGCUGUGAAGAUGCAGUGUACCCGCGGCAAGACGGAAAGACCCCGUGAACCUUUACUAUAGCUUGACACUGAACAUUGAGCCUUGAUGUGUAG
rnacentral:rRNA from 3 species